rnacentral:rRNA from 1 species
AGUCGUAACAAGGUCUCCGUUGGUGAACCAGCGGAGGGAUCAUUACAGAGUGUAAAAACUCCCAAACCCUUUGUGAACAUACCACUGUUGCCUCGGCGGACCUGCCCGGUAGCUACCCUGUAGCUACCCCGCAGCCGCCGGUGGACCACCUAACUCUGAUUAUGUAGAUAUCUGAGCGUACUUUUAAAUAAGUCAAAACUUUCAACAACGGAUCUCUUGGUUCUGGCAUCGAUGAAGAACGCAGCGAAAUGCGAUAAGUAAUGUGAAUUGCAGAAUUCAGUGAAUCAUCGAAUCUUUGAACGCACAUUGCGCCCAUUAGUACUCUAGUGGGCAUGCCUGUUCGAGCGUCAUUACGACCCUUAAGCCUAGCUUAGUAUUGGGAACCUACGUGCGGCAGCUACCCUGUAGCCACCCGGUAGCUCCUUAAAGACAACGGCGGAGACGUGGAGUCCUCUGAGCUUAGUAACUUUUCUAGCUUCUGAAGGCGCCGCGGCCCCUGCCGCAAAACCCCAACUCUUUUAGUGGUUGACCUCGGAUCAGGUAGGAAUACCCGCUGAACUUAAGCAUAUCAAUA